UACGUAGGGUGCGAGCGUUAAUCGGAAUUACUGGGCGUAAAGCGUGCGCAGGCGGUUCGUUGUGUCGGCGGUGAAAGCCCCGGGCUUAACCUGGGAAUGGCCGUCGAAACUGGCGAACUGGAGUGUGGCAGAGGGGGGUGGAAUUCCGCGUGUAGCAGUGAAAUGCGUAGAGAUGCGGAGGAACACCGAUGGCGAAGGCAGCCCCCUGGCUGACACUGACGCUCAGGCACGAAAGCGUGGGGAGCAAACAGG
rnacentral:rRNA from 1 species